GACGAACGCUGGCGGCGUGCCUAAUACAUGCAAGUCGAACGCAGUGGGGACGGGUGAGUAACACGUGGGUAACCUCCCAUCAGAGGGGAUAACACUUGGACACAGGUGCUAAACCGAUACUGAUGGAUGGACCCGCGGUGCAUUAGCUAGUUGGUGAGGUAACGGCUCACCAAGGCCACGAUGCAUAGCGGACCUGAGGGGGUGAGCGCACAAACUGGGACUGAGAAAGGGCCCAGACGCCUAGUGGAGGCAGCAGGAGGGAAUCUUCGGCAAUGGAGGAAAGUCUGACCGAGCAACGCCGCGGGAGGGAAGAAGGGUUUCGGAUCGUAAAACUCUGUUGUUAGAGAAGCGGUAUCUAACCAGAAAGCCACGGCUAACUACGUGCCAGCAGCCGCGGUAAUU
rnacentral:rRNA from 1 species